ensembl:lncRNA
AUUCUCUGAAAUCAAAGCCUGUUUCCCCUCAGGAUGACUUCAAGUGGACAAUUAAGACAUGCAGAGCUGUGAACAGCGUUGACCGGCGGCAUCUGGACAGACAUGGAGCCUUGUGCCGAGUCUCAGGGAGAUCCUGAGAGAGCUCAGGUGCAGUAUAUAGUGUGCUGUGUGUCCAGUUCACUGACUGACCAGCUGUGAGAAACACUGAGCAAACAGACGAUCAUCUAAUGAUCAACAGAGAGGAAGAGAAACAGGGAGGAGCGGCCUGUGAGAAUGAGAGAUUUGUGUGAUCUCUGCAGACGCUCCGGCUCACUAACGGUAGGCUCGGCUCUGUUUCUCUGUUACUCACGAUAAAUCCAGACAGAUGAAUGAAUGAUGGCUGGGUGUAGAUGGCAUUCAGUGUCAAUCUGGGGAUAUAUGAGUGUCUCAUGGGAUCUCGUGUGAUUUUAUUGGCCUGUAGACGUGCAGACAGGUGUGUCUUGUGAUUUGUGAUUUGAAAAGUUACUGAACUCUGAUCAGCUGUGGGCUUCGGUGAUGUUGCAGCUUUAGACGCUAGAGUUUUACUA